GGUGGCUCAGUGCUUAAGCAUUUGGCUGCUAACCAAAAGGUUGGUGGUUUGAACCCAUCAUCACCU
rnacentral:tRNA from 1 species